AAGAUAGGUCAUCUAUCCCUCAAAGUUAUGGUGUCCUCACCCGUUAAUAAGACCCCACUCCUUACCCUGCCUUCCUCCUCAAGGUGUUAAUAAUUAUAGAGGAACUCUACUUGGGGCCCUCUCCUACUCAUUUUACCCAAGCAACCAAGUGCACCAUUCCUACCUCCUCCCUUGGUGACUGUAAAGUCACGUGGGACCCUGGAGCAGACACACUUCAGAGGCCACCUCUCAACAGUCCCUUCUACCAUAUUCUACCAAAUGCUAGUGAUAACGCGUCUCAUGAUGCUGAGCAGUGGCAGUGAGCCACAGCCCCAAGUCAGCCAUGUGAUCACAAGGAGUCAGUGGUGGCAUAACAUAAGAGCCUAGCCCCUGAAGCCAGAAUGCCUGGGUUCACAUCGCAG